rnacentral:lncRNA from 1 species
GUACUUAUUAACGAGAUUUGGGAUUUAAAAAAAUAUUUUGGAAAUAAUGAAAUAAAUUUAAAAAUUUUGAAUAGUAUUGCCGGGUAUGGAAGGGAAAAGUCCUUCUAAAAUAUAGAAGUUGAGAAAUAUAUUUUUGAAUUAGAUUUUUUUUUUAAAAAAAUUGUUAUUAAUUCUUGAUAUCUUUUUUUUUUUUUUUUGAAGUAGGUAAAAUCAGUGACAAAGUUAAAACUAAAGAGUACUAAAAUAAAUAUUCGAUAAAUCUAGAUAGAAUAUUUGAAGUUUUUUGUACAUAAUUUAACGAAAUAUUAAACCACAUGAUACUAAAAUAAAAAAAAAGCGAUACCACAGAGUACUAACUUGAUACACUUUAAACCACAGAGUACUAAAAUGAGAAAGUGCGAAACCACAGGGUACUAACUUGAUACACUUUAAACCACAGGGUACUAAAGUGAAAAAGUGCGAAACCACAGGGGGGUAUUUGAAGUUUUCCCUUUUAAAAAUCUAUUUAACACUAAAUUAAUUAUAAUUUAAUUUUAAUUUACGUUUGUUUAAAUUUUAUGUUAUUAUUUAGUUUAUUUUGGUGUUAUUUUCAAAUUAUUUACUAAAAAUAUAU